UGGCGGACGGGUGAGUAAUGUCUGGGAAACUGCCCGAUGGAGGGGGAUAACUACUGGAAACGGUAGCUAAUACCGCAUAACGUCGCAAGACCAAAGAGGGGACCUUCGGGCCUCUUGCCAUCGGAUGUGCCCAGAUGGGAUUAGCUAGUAGGUGGGGUAACGGCUCACCUAGGCGACGAUCCCUAGCUGGUCUGAGGGGAUGACCAGCCACACUGGAACUGAGACACGGUCCAG
rnacentral:rRNA from 1 species